GUCUUUUAGAGUAUAAUUUAAAGUCUAACCUGCCCACUGAAUUUAUUUGAAGGGCCGCGGUAUUUUGACUGUGCAAAGGUAGCAUAAUCAUUAGUCUUUUAAUUGGAGGCUUGUAUGAAUGGUUGGAUGAAACAUUAACUGUCUCAAUUUAAUAAAAAUAGAAUUUAAUUUUUAAGUUAAAAAGCUUAAAUAUAAUUGGAGGACGAGAAGACCCUAUAGAUCUUUAUAUUUAAUUAUUUAUUAUUAAUAUAGAAUAUUAAUUGUUAUUAAUUAAUUAAUUAUUUUAUUGGGGUGAUAAAUAAAUUUAAUAAACUUUAUUUUAUAUAAACAUUUAUUUAUGAAUAUUUGAUCCAUUAUUAGUGAUUAGAAGAUUAAGUUACCUUAGGGAUAACAGCGUAAUUUUUUUAGAGAGUUCUUAUCGAUAAAAAAGUUUGCGACCUCGAUGUUGAAUUAAAGGUUAAUUUUAGGUGCAGAAGUUUAAAGUUUUGGUCUGUUCGACCAUUAAAUC
rnacentral:rRNA from 1 species